rnacentral:rRNA from 1 species
CCUACGGGCGGCAGCAGUGAGGAAUAUUGGUCAAUGGUCGGGAGACUGAACCAGCCAAGCCGCGUGAGGGAGGAAGGUACAGAGUAUCGUAAACCUCUUUUGUCAGGGAACAAAGGCGGGGACGUGUCCCCGGAUGCGUGUACCUGAAGAAAAAGCAUCGGCUAACUCCGUGCCAGCAGCCGCGGUAAUCCGGAGGAUGCGAGCGUUAUCCGGAUUGAUGGGGGUAAAGGGGUGCGCAGGCGGUCUGUUAAGUCCGCGGUCAAAGCCCGGGGCUCAACCCCGGCCCGCCGUUGAAACUGGCAGUCUAGAGUUGGAGAGAAGUAUGCGGAAUGCGCGGUGUAGCGGUGAAAUGCAUAGAUAUCGCGCAGAACUCCGAUUGCGAAGGCAGCAUGCCGGAUCCACACUGACGCUGAGGCACGAAAGCGUGGGUAUCGAACAGGAUUAGAUACCCGAGUAGUC